GGAAGUAAAAGUCGUAACAAGGUCUCCGUUGGUGAACCAGCGGAGGGAUCAUUACCGAGUUUACAACUCCCAAACCCCUGUGAACAUACCUUAAUGUUGCCUCGGCGGAUCAGCCCGCGCCCCGUAAAACGGGACGGCCCGCCAGAGGACCCAAACUCUAAUGUUUCUUAUUGUAACUUCUGAGUAAAACAAACAAAUAAAUCAAAACUUUCAACAACGGAUCUCUUGGUUCUGGCAUCGAUGAAGAACGCAGCAAAAUGCGAUAAGUAAUGUGAAUUGCAGAAUUCAGUGAAUCAUCGAAUCUUUGAACGCACAUUGCGCCCGCUGGUAUUCCGGCGGGCAUGCCUGUUCGAGCGUCAUCUCAACCCUCGAGCCCCCCGCCUCGCGGCGGCGGGGCCCGGCCUUGGGGGUCACGGCCCCGCGCCGCCCCCUAAACGCAGUGGCGACCCCGCCGCGGCUCCCCUGCGCAGUAGCUCGCUGAGAACCUCGCACCGGGAGCGCGGAGGCGGUCACGCCGUGAAACCACCACACCCUCCAGUUGACCUCGGAUCAGGUAGGGAUACCCGCUGAACUUAAGCAUAUCAAUAAGCGGAGGA
rnacentral:rRNA from 1 species